GUCGUGGGCGUAGGAAAUUUGAGAGGAGCUGUCCUUAGUACGAGAGGACCGGGAUGGACAUACCUCUGGUGUACCAGUUGUCGUGCCAACGGCAUAGCUGGGUAGCUAUGUGUGGACGGGAUAAGUGCUGAAAGCAUCUAAGCAUGAAGCCCCCCUCAAGAUGAGAUUUCCCAACUUCGGUUAUAAGAUCCCUCAAAGAUGAUGAGGUUAAUAGGUUCGAGGUGGAAGCAUGGUGACAUGUGGAGCUGACGAAUACUAAUCGAUCGAAGACUU
rnacentral:rRNA from 1 species